rnacentral:rRNA from 1 species
GUGCCAGCCGCCGCGGUAAUACGUAGGGGGCGAGCGUUGUCCGAAUUCACUGGGCGUAAAGCGCGCGUAGGCGGCUUGUUAAGUUGGAGGUGAAAUCCCGGGGCUCAACCCCGGAACUGCCCCCAAAACUGGCAGGCUUGAGGUAUGGAGAGGGAAGUGGAAUUCCAGGUGUAGCGGUGAAAUGCGUAGAUAUCUGGAGGAACACCCGUGGCGAAGGCGGCUUCCUGGUCAUAUCCUGACGCUGAGGUGCGAAAGCUAGGGGAGCGAACGGGAUUAGAUACCCCGGUAGUCCUAGCCGUAAACGAUGGAUACUAGGUGUUAGAGGUAUCGACCCCUCUAGUGCCGCAGCUAACGCAUUAAGUAUCCCGCCUGGGGAGUACGACCGCAAGGUUGAA